AUAUGGGAGAUAUCAGCGCUUGACAUUUUCCUCUCUGGUGGGAAACAUCCAGAUGACUGCCCAGAUCUAGUGAUUGUGCCCUGGAGGUGGAUCAGGAAGUGUGUGUCUUAGUGAUAAGUCUCAGGUCUUAGUAGUCAACUGUCCAAAUUCAGGUCACUCUUGGCUACUUUCUACAAGUAGCUUUCUGCCUACUCUUCCAGGAGACCAUGCCUUCAGUUAGGUGAUCUGACAGAGGAGCCUA
rnacentral:lncRNA from 1 species